rnacentral:rRNA from 1 species
AACGAACGCUGGCGGCAUGCCUAACACAUGCAAGUCGAACGAGACCUUCUGGUCUAGGGGCGCACGGGUGCGUAACGCGUGGGAACCUGCCCUUAGGUUCGGAAUAACUCCCCGAAAGGGGUGCUAAUACCGGAUAAUGUCUUCGGACCAAAGAUUUAUCGCCUUUGGAUGGGCCCGCGUUGGAUUAUCUAGUUGGUAGGGUAAAAGCCUACCAAGGCGACGAUCCAUAGCUGGUCUGAGAGGAUGAUCAGCCACACUGGGACUGAGACACGGCCCAGACUCCUACGGGAGGCAGCAGUGGGGAAUAUUGGACAAUGGGCGAAAGCCUGAUCCAGCAAUGCCGCGUGAGUGAUGAAGGCCUUAGGGUUGUACAGCUCUUUUCCCCGGGAUGAUAAUGACAGUACCGGGAGAAUAAGCUCCGGCUAACUCCGUG